AAGAGUUACAGCUCUUUUAGAAUUUGUCUGGCAGGCUUUCCAGUUUUUGCCAGUGUGAACCCAAA
ensembl:snRNA U7 U7 small nuclear RNA